rnacentral:tRNA from 1 species
GGGGCUAUAGCUCAGUUGGUUAGAGUGCUUGCUUGACAUGCAAGAGGCCACUGGUUCGAAUCCAGUUAGCCCCACCA